AGGCGGGUCGGGGGAGGGCAGGGGAACGGAAGGGGUACCCGGGGAGCAUCCUAAGGGAACCUCUUCGCUUAAAAGGGCGGCCGCUGAAGUGGCUCUGAGAACAAAGGAGUUAACACUCGGACUCCACAGGUGGCCCGGGGUGGCCCUGGAGGAGCCCGCCUUUACCUUGCCCUAGCCCACCGGCGCGUCCCGCAGUUCCGAACUAAACGCGCCAGGCCGGGAAGGCUCGGGCUGUCUGAAGAGAGGCGUGACCUCGCCUACACCAGAUCCAAGGCGCACAUACCGAGACACCCCUCAACCUCACUCAGCAGUGCCGUUUCCAACUCCGCGGCAGAGACAGCGCCUGGCGACCCCGGGGGCUGCGUCCCCGCCCGGUCAGCAUCGCAGGUGUUACCCAAACUCUGACGGUCCCUUUAAGAACUCACCCGGAGUCGCGCCCUCCGAAGCUGAGCCGCCCUCGGCCAGCGCUGCAGGCCCCAGCUUAUAAAUCUAUGAAGGUGUCCAGGUCCUGCCAGACUCCGCUGCAUCUUUUGCUUUCACUCCAGCAGGGUAGCAGCAUGCUGCCUGUGCCAAGGCAAUCACUAAAAGGAAAGGAUUUAAUGCUGUCAAAAAAGCUUAUGCCAGCUUAGGCUGCAGGAAGAGGAACAGUGUCAAGUAUGUUGAAAGUGGACAUAUUGGUCAGACCUCCAUGAGAGCCUAGGGGGCAUUGCUUAGCAGCACGCUUUUAAAGGAAUCUGAACAAACCAGCAUGUGGAAAGAAGAGAGUAACCACAGCAAUCAGGAAACAACUGUACAAUCUAGGGCCAUUUCAUUGGAAAAACAGAAGUCUCCAGGGAGCUGCAGUCAUCAAACAGGCUUAUUCUGUGUACCCAGUGGGCAAGUACAGUCAAUGGAUGAAAAUUCAACCAAUGGACAAACACAGGAAGUUUUUCCUUAACAUGAGUUGUCAGAAACUGUCCAAAAUUCCAAAGAGCUGCCUCAAGGUAGUGGAAAUUUUUUUUUUUUUUUAAUCAGGAAGGUGCUGAAUGAAGCCAGCAAGGAUUCUGUGUCAGAGGGUGGUAGAUACCCAGGACAUAAGGUUGAACCACGUGACCUCUGAGACCACAGUUCUAAGCUGUUGAAACCUCAGUCCCUGCUGAAUACUGAAAUGGUAUUAGCACCCUUUAGUCUACAUCAAGAAUUCGUUCUACCCAGUUUUGGUGGUACCAAGACUGAUCUCUUUCUCAUAGAUAAUUCUUAACAGAAUAAAAGCUACAGGUUGAAACCAAUUCCCUUUAAAAUGUGGACAGUUGACCAUCUCCAUGAUAGGUAGUUAGGCACUGAAUUAAUGCUUUUUAAUGGAAGAGCCACCCUAAGAUUCCUGGAGUGUGGUAUAAUGGAGUACUAAAUCAGCAUAGGACUAAUAACUGCCUCCCGUGUAAACUGGUCUAUCCGGAGAGUGGUAUAGCCUCUCAUACAGUGUUCAAAGGCAGAUUUAACUCACUGCAGGUCCACAGCAACCGAUAAGAUAAACUCGUUGGUUAUGGUCUCCCACUUUGCAAAGGAGAGCACAGAGGAAGAGGAAACUGAGAUAACUUGGUUUAGGACCCCACAGCUGGCUGGAGCUGGGCUGAACAUUAGUUCAUUGUUUCUUCGAUUAAUCUAUGCUGCUUUUUCUCUACUUGGCUCCUUUUCUAAAUUAAACAAAACAAAAC
rnacentral:lncRNA from 10 species